rnacentral:rRNA from 1 species
AUUGAACGCUGGCGGCAGGCCUAACACAUGCAAGUCGAACGAGUGGCGGACGGGUGAGUAAUGUCUGGGAAACUGCCCGAUGGAGGGGGAUAACUACUGGAAACGGUAGCUAAUACCGCAUACCAUCGGAUGUGCCCAGAUGGGAUUAGCUAGUAGGUGGGGUAACGGCUCACCUAGGCGACGAUCCCUAGCUGGUCUGAGAGGAUGACCAGCCACCGUGGAAGUGAGAGAAGGUCAAGACUCCUACGGGAGGCAGCAGUGGGGAAUAUGGCACAAUGGGCGCAAGCCUGAUGCAGCCAUGCCGCGUGUAUGAAGAAGGCCUUAGGGUUGGAAAGUACUUUCAGCGAGGAGGCGUUAAUCGCAGAAGAAGCACCGGCUAACUCCGUGCCAGCAGCCGCGGUAAUAG